CAUGCAAGCCUAGCAAUUUCUACUAUUGAUGUUCCACAUUAUCCAGUGUCAAAAAGUGGUGCAUGAGGGAUAUUAGAAACUGUUGGGUUCCUGUAAGUGCCAUUCGUAGACCUGUUGCACUUCUAAUCCCUUUCUGAACCUACUCAUUCUGUCUUCCACAGGCUGCUAUGGAGAGAAGGUUUCUGAAGUAUCUCCUCUGUGCACAAAGAAUUACUUUCUUCGGGAGCAGUGAACGAGUGGAUGUGCAGUGCCGAGCUGCCAGGUUUAACCUGCCAGGUUAAAUCACUACAAGAAAGAAGAUGAAGAGAUUAUAAGUAGCCAAAGUCUAUUGGUGGCUACUGAGCAUAGUAGUAGGGGUGAAACCUCCACUUCUGACUCAGAAGCUGCUUGCUCUUGUGACUGCCAGAAAUGUGGAAGACAUGUUCCUCUAAUAUAAUUUCAUAUAUGCACUUACAUUUACUCUUCCCUUAUCUUCUGGUCAUUCAUCAGAUUGAUAGGAAGCAGCUGAGUUGCUUCAUGGACCUGAAUGCGUCAGUGACAGAACAAGAAAAACCUUUUAUAUCUGCCAUCCAAGCAAUCUCUUCCCCUUUUCAUCUUUCAGAGCUGCAAGCUCUAGCCUUACAGCUUCUCAGUGAAGAAUAUAUUUUAUUAUCUGGAGAAAACGAUGGCUGGCUGCUUGAUAGGAAUACACUGAGCAUCCUUAUCCUCUGAAACCAUAUGUCUGCACCUUGCCAGGUGGAGCUCCAUGUGUCCUUGGGAGUACUGGUAUCUCUCUGUCUCCCAGACCUGGCUGACAAGCCUAGUACAUCAAGAACAGUGCCUUAUAGUUCCUGGCAUCCAGUUAUCUCCUCUAUAGCUAUGCCAAAUUUGAACAGAGGUCCAAGAGAUGCCAUUGAGUCAGUAUUUGCAAAAUGAACUAUUUCAGUUGUACUUUCAGAUUCAGGAAAAAAGUAACAUAUGUGGUUAUUUUUUAAUUUACAAGCACAAACUUUUAUGCUGUAUGUUUAAAAAGGUCCCAAAAAUGCAUGUAAUAAAACAAAUAACACUCUUAUCUAGGCACUAGCUAAGACUGCUGCAUUGUGAGAAGCAUGUGUCUCAGUCUGUUUUUCUCCCAGCAAAGCGUUUACAAGACCCUUUGAGAGUGGAAUGCUCUUUGCUGGGCAUAUGGGGUAACUAAAAUUUUUGGAGUGCCAUCAUUUCCCAUCAUGUUCUGGUAUAGCGUAGCAAAUCUUGUUCUGGGAAAGGAUUUGUGCCAGCAGGGUAAAAGGCACCCUAAAACUGAUUUAUAUCACUUUUAUGGACUACUUGAGGGUAUUACUGGGAAAAGGAAUGAAGCAAUUUGAAUUUUCAUAUUUUGGAGUGGAUACUAUGCUUCCAAUACUGUUUCUCUGAAAAUAAAGCUCACAUUGAUCAGCAGGUAC